rnacentral:rRNA from 1 species
GACGGAGGAUGCAAGCGUUAUCCGGAAUGAUUGGGCGUAAAGCGUCCGCAGGUGGCAGUUCAAGUCUGCUGUCAAAGACCGGGGCUUAACUUCGGAAAGGCAGUGGAAACUGAACAGCUAGAGUGCAGUAGGGGUAGAGGGAAUUCCCAGUGUAGCGGUGAAAUGCGUAGAGAUUGGGAAGAACACCGGUGGCGAAAGCGCUCUACUGGACUGCAACUGACACUCAGGGACGAAAGCUAGGGGAGCGAAUGGG